rnacentral:rRNA from 1 species
AUAUUCACGAAACCCUAAGGCGCAAUGAAAGUGAAGGUCAGGCAUCGCACUGACUGAGGCAGGAUCCGUCCGGGUGAGCGAAGCUCUUCUUCCCUUCGCGGGUUCGUCCCGCGGGGGAGCUCGGCGGCGCACUGCCAGCCCAUCUCGGCCGCUUCCCGUCGGCGAGGUGGAGCCAGAGCGCACACGUUGGGACCCGAAAGAUGGUGAACUAGCUCGGGCAGGACGAAGCCAGAGGAAACUCUGGUGGAGGUCCGUAGCGAUUCUGACGUGCAAAUCGAUCGUCGGACCCGAGUAUAGGGGCGAAAGACUAAUCGAACCGUCUAGUAGC